GAUGAACGCUGGCGGCGUGCCUAAUACAUGCCAGUCGAGCGAACGGACGAGAAGCUUGCUUCUCUGAUGUUAGCGGCGGACGGGUGAGUAACGCGUGGAUAACCUACCUAUAAGACUGGGAUAACUUCGGGAAACCGGAGCUAAUACCGGAUAAUAUUUUGAACCGCAUGGUUCAAAAGUGAAAGACGGUCUUGCUGUCACUUAUAGAUGGAUCCGCGCUGCAUUAGCUAGUUGGUAAGGUAACGGCUUACCAAGGCAACGAUGCAUAGCCGACCUGAGAGGGUGAUCGGCCACACUGGAACUGAGACACGGUCCAGACUCCUACGGGAGGCAGCAGUAGGGAAUCUUCCGCAAUGGGCGAAAGCCUGACGGAGCAACGCCGCGUGAGUGAUGAAGGUCUUCGGAUCGUAAAACUCUGUUAUUAGGGAAGAACAUAUGUGUAAGUAGCUGUGCACAUCUUGACGGUACCUAAUCAGAAAGCCACGGCUAACUACGUG
rnacentral:rRNA from 1 species